rnacentral:ribozyme from 13 species
CACUGAAUUUUUCUUGUUUAUUUUGCUCACUCACGCUUCUUCAAAACAAAAAAAAAAUAAAAAAGCCUGUGUCAUGAUACUGUAAUCCGCAUGGAAUCACGUAUUUGCUUUUGAGUGUA